rnacentral:rRNA from 1 species
AACAGGAUUAGAUACCCUGGUAGUCCACGCCCUAAACGAUGUCAACUGGUUGUUGGGUCUUCACUGACUCAGUAACGAAGCUAACGCGUGAAGUUGACCGCCUGGGGAGUACGGCCGCAAGGUUGAAACUCAGAGGAAUUGACGGGGACCCGCACAAGCGGUGGAUGAUGUGGUUUAAUUCGAUGCAACGCGAAAAACCUUACCCACCUUUGACAUGUACGGAAUCCUUUAGAGAUAGAGGAGUGCUCGAAAGAGAACCGUAACACAGGUGCUGCAUGGCUGUCGUCAGCUCGUGUCGUGAGAUGUUGGGUUAAGUCCCGCAACGAGCGCAACCCUUGCCAUUAGUUGCUACGAAAGGGCACUCUAAUGGGACUGCCGGUGACAAACCGGAGGAAGGUGGGGAUGACGUCAAGUCCUCAUGGCCCUUAUAGGUGGGGCUACACACGUCAUACAAUGGCUGGUACAGAGGGUUGCCAACCCGCGAGGGGGAGCCAAUCCCAUAAAGCCAGUCGUAGUCCGGAUCGCAGUCUGCAACUCGACUGCGUGAAGUCGGAAUCGCUAGUAAUCGCGGAUCAGAAUGUCGCGGUGAAUACGUUCCCGGGUCUUGUACACACCGCCCGUCACACCAUGGGAGCGGGUUCUGCCAGAAGUAGUUAGCCUAACCGCAAGGAGGGCGAUUACCACGGCAGGGUUCGUACUGGGGUGAAGUCGUAACAAGGUAACC